GAGGCAGGAGAAUCACUUGAACCUGGAAGGCAGAGGUUGCACUGAGUGGAGAUCAUGUCAUUGCACUCCAGCCUGGGGAACAAAGAGCAACACUUCAUCUCAAAAAAAAAAAAAAAAAAAAGGUACUUUCCCAGAUGUCAUGCCUUCCUUACCAAUGCUGUAAUUUUCCUAAUUUCACGCACAGCUCACAUAUGGUAUAUUUCAGCCAGCGAGAGCUCAACUAACUGCAGAACAUCCAGCACUGCAUGUCAUAUCGUGUCACCCACUUGCUGAGGGCAAGCCCAGCAUGGUUUGGUCUGAAGCUGACUUGAAGAGCUGAGAGUUCAAGACUUGUCACUGGGUCCCAAAAAGGCCCUGUGAGCCUGGAGGCAGAGCCCAGUCCUGUCUCAACCACCAGGCUCAGGACUGGGGGCUUUCCCGAGGAUAGAGUCACACGCGCGCGCACACACACACACACACACACACACACACAUUCAUUCUGUUCGAUGGUGGAGCUCCUUCCUUAUGGAGAGACACUUUUCAAUAAAAAGAACAUAUAGGUUGCUUCUCCUGCAAGCUGCACUGGCCUUCCGCUAGCCCCAGAACCUCUCCUAUCCAGGCAGUCCCUCUCUGGGCUGGGAGUCACCAGCACUGUUCUUAAGAGCUCCCUGGCAUUACUUUUCCCAAUGACUGGAAGUUCUUGAUAGCAGGAGCUAUGACUGGCUUUUUGAAGUUUCUUACAGCACUUUUAAAGAAAUAUAUACUUUAAAAAGUAACCCAAUGAGCAGCAGGCACUUUAUUUAAUUUUAAAGUAGCUUCUAAUCCUGGUUUGUGGUAUAGGCAUGCAUUUUACAAAGUCUCGAUUACGAUGAACAUCUUCCUUUGUAUUUUAAUUUCUGCCUUAGCAUCCUACUGCGUCCACAUUCCCAUGUGUUUCAGUUACCUAUUGCUGUGUAAUAAACCAGCCAAAAACUCAGUGGCUUAAAACAACCUUGAUUGUUUCUCAUGAUCCUGUGCGUUGGCAGGGAGGUUCUUUGGCUUCACGAGUAUUGCUCAUGUGCCUGCACUGAGCUGGGAGCUCUGUCCUUCUUCCUGUGCUGGCUAGCCAGGACUUCCUUACUGCAUGGCAACCAGGCUUGGAGGGAGUGAUCUGAGAGAACAGACAUAAGGUGCAAGCGCUUAUCAAGGCUCAUCUUGUGUCAUGCCUCCGAAGAGUCCCAUUGGCCAAAGCCAGUCACAUGGCCAAGGCCAGCCUGACCAACCUGGUGAAACCAUGUCUCUACUAAAAAUAC
rnacentral:lncRNA from 10 species